rnacentral:piRNA from 1 species
UGCAACUGAAUGGAGACUAGAUUUCUGCAC